UACGUAGGUGUCAAGCGUUGUCCGGAUUUAUUGGGCGUAAAGCGCCCGCAGGCGGCUUGCCAAGUCUGACGUGAAAUCUCCCGGCUCAACUGGGAGGGUGCAGCGGAUACUGGCUGACUCGAGGAGGGUAGGGGCAUCUGGAACUAGCGGUGGAGCGGUGAAAUGCGUUGAUAUCGCGAGGAACUCCGGUGGCGAAGGCGAGGUGCUGGACCCUUUCUGACGCUGAGGCGCGAAAGCCAGGGGAGCGAACGGG
rnacentral:rRNA from 1 species